GUGACCACCCGAGUUCUUCUGCCCAGCCAGCCAAUGGGGGCGCUCCUCGCUCGGGCCGCGGGGCUUUCGAGGGCUCGGUCGGCGAGACAAGAUGGCGGCGCUUAGCGCUGAGGCGUCUUCUCAGAUGGCAGUGAAGUCAACCUCUUUUCAGAUACAUGCAGUUGAUCAUCUGUCAGCAGUGGUAUCUGAAAAGCUGCUUCCUGGAUUUGAUGGCAAGCAACUGCAUAUUGUGCAACACACAGUGGGAAGUUCUAAAGAAAAAAUUGGCAAAGUUCAUCCAACACAUCACUGCUAGUGUCAUCUAUCAAAGCAUUUGCUAUGGAUUUAGAUGCCAUUUUGCCAAGGAUUUUCUUCUGGGCCUGGAUGGCCAAACCUUUGGAAUUGAAGACAUCUGUUGCCACUGGAAGAAAAAGAGUAGAUGUUAGUACCUUCAGACCAUCUGAUGCAAUCCAUUGAAUGUGAAAGCAUUUUAAAGCACUGUGUGAGGGGGAAAUAACUAAAGUUUCCCACUACAUAUAUUUCCUGUAUUAAAAUGCUGAUUAAUUUCCUUGUGUAACAAUUAAAAGAACUAAAACCUU